UGCCAGCCGCCGCGGUAAUACGAAGGGGGCUAGCGUUGCUCGGAAUCACUGGGCGUAAAGGGCGCGUAGGCGGCUGAUUUAGUCGAGGGUGAAAGCCCGUGACUCAACCACGGAAUGGCCUUCGAUACUGGUUGGCUUGAGACCGGAAGAGGACAGCGGAACUGCGAGUGUAGAGGUGAAAUUCGUAGAUAUUCGCAAGAACACCAGUGGCGAAGGCGGCUGUCUGGUCCGGUUCUGACGCUGAGGCGCGAAAGCGUGGGGAGCAAACAGGAUUAGAUACCCUGGUAGUCCACG
rnacentral:rRNA from 1 species